UCGUCAGAUAGUAUAAUUCUUACCUGUUCCUCUACUCAGAGGGCAGGUAGAACAUGAUGAUUGGAGUUCACAUGAUUUGUGAUUAACGUCUCUGUGUAAUUGGGGCUGGCAACACUCUCAAUUCCUCCCAUCUGAU